AUCUAUCAGACGAGUCCUAAAUAGGACAAAAUCCACGUCCUGGAU
rnacentral:hammerhead_ribozyme from 1 species